GUCAGUUCACAGCGGAUAUGAUGGUGAGAGUGAGUGAUAAAAUUAAAGCGAGGGAUAAACAUAUACAGAAAGGGGAAAAAGGGAAAAUAUAAACAAAUGGCCGAAGUUGAGUAAACAGAAUUAGUAGCGAAUCGAAGAAAAUUGUAUUGCAAGAAGAGAGUUGAACGGUGAAUAAAUCUAGAUUGUAUUUGAGGUAGAGUGAAUUACGUGGAGUUUGGUCAGCAGAUAACAAUUAAGUACACUCUGACGCAGGACAGUACAGUGGUGCUCAAACUAUCGAAGACAGCCCACGGACUUUUAGACGACAAUUAGACGAACGACACAGAAAGCGAGUAGAACAGGCAGACAAGUCUACGUGGACGAUUGAGACGGAAGUUAAAGGAGAAGAACAAACUAAAAUUGUGAGUAGAAAU